UGGGGAAUAUUGGACAAUGGGCGCAAGCCUGAUCCAGCCAUGCCGCGUGAGUGAUGAAGGCCCUAGGGUUGUAAAGCUCUUUCACCGGUGAAGAUAAUGACGGUAACCGGAGAAGAAGCCCCGGCUAACUUCGUGCCAGCAGCCGCGGUAAUACGAAGGGGGCUAGCGUUGUUCGGAUUUACUGGGCGUAAAGCGCACGUAGGCGGACUUGUAAGUCAGGGGUGAAAUCCCGGGGCUCAACCCCGGAACUGCCUUUGAUACUGGAAGUCUUGAGUAUGGUAGAGGUGGGUGGAAUUCCGAGUGUAGAGGUGAAAUUCGUAGAUAUUCGGAGGAACACCAGUGGCGAAGGCGGCUCACUGGACCAUUACUGACGCUGAGGUGCGAAAGCGUGGGGAGCAAACAGG
rnacentral:rRNA from 1 species